GUGGCUACACUCCAGAUCAUGCAUAGUACAUUUCUUCUUCUUCGAUGAAGGCAAGUGAAUGUAGCAGUGGUUGCUUCCGUUCUGACCUGUUAUUUCUAUUGCCUACACUCUAAUAUUCAGAAGUAUUGGAUUCUUUCAUAAUUGGACUCUAUGGUGAUGCUUUACUUGCUUGCAUUAUGCUGAUGCUCAAUCAUAUAUUGAUGAUGAUAAUGAUUCGAGUAUGACUCGUGAGAUUAAUUCACACCCCUGAAGGUAAAUGAAGUAUUAUUUAAGGUUGGUAUUGUAUCUAAAGGUAAAUGAAGUAUUAUUUGAGGUUGUAUUGUAUGUGAAGGAAGUGAAGUAUAUUGAUAAAUGCAGCAUGCCAUAUACAUUGCAUGAUUCACUUGCAUCUGAAGUUUUGUCGUGACCUAUGGUCCGACCGUACCGGUACAACUUAGCAUCGUACAUUGCCCGAGAAGGGGUACGAUGCGGCUUCAUACCCUUAGAGGUAUGAAGGUAGAGGACAUAUGCAUUGCAUUCAUAUGCAUUCAUUGAAGUGGUAUUUGUAGAUGGUGUGGUUUUAUACUCUAAGAGGUAUGAAGGCAGAGGACUUACACAUUGCAUUACUAUGCAUACAUCGAAGUGAUAUUUGCAGGUAUUGUUGACGCAGGAAAGUGUUAUACAACCUAUUGUGGUUGUUCGAGGAAAUUAGAUGGCAUUGGUUAUUUUGGGACUAUUGAGUUCUAUAUCUACAAGUAUUUCUGAUCUCAAUUGUGAUCCCUUUAAAAUGUUGAUUAGUUCAAUUUUUUUGGUUUAAAUAUCUCGUCGAAACAAUUCACUUGCUGAGAUGUUUCAUCUCACUCUUGCAUUACUCAAUGCAGGUACUUGAUUCAUGUUGGGGAUGAGGGGAGUAGCAGCACGUCCACCUUCACUCUCAUAAUAACGCUGCCCAGGCACAACCAUGAUUUAAUUAAAAACUUCUUGUCAAAGGAUGUUUGUUUUUAACUAGUCAUGCACACUAGUUAAUUCAGUUCAUGACGUUAUGGUUAUCUUCCCAUUGCUAACAGAUUAUUAAUGUCUAGUAUGUUUUCUUAUUAUGAUAUAUGUUUAUACUUUGUUGCUUCCACGUUUAUGCAAAUUUUCAAAGGAGAUGCUAUUGAAAUUUUAUAUAUGAAUGUUAGUUGUGUAGUUUAGUAGCAUUUCGGGGUGUUUGUGGAUCCCGGGGUGUUACAGUUGGUAUCAAAGCAUAGGCUUUAGAUUCUUGGCAAUUUGAAGAUAAAUUUGACACACUUGCACAUAUAGGAAGGGUAUGGGUACAAAUAUCUUUGAUAUAUAUUAAUGUCUUUGAAGUGUAGGUGACAAUAAUUUCACCCCUCCCCAUUCCUUUAUGGUGAUGUGGUAAGUUGUUUAUGACUUAAUGCCUGAUAUAAUUUAUCUCUAAAUCUUUAUAUUGUUUUAUUAAUGCAUUUGAUAUCGCUGGUUUUUUGUGAGAUUGAAGUUGUUAUUAUGCCUGUGAUAUACAAGUAUGCCUAUGUUGUUUUCACUAUGUUUUUCAUGGUUGAGUUUUAUUACAAUAAUAUUGUUAUAUAUGCUUGAUUGAGGAUGUUUCUAAGAGGAGUGUGAAUUGUGUGUUUUGGGUUACAAGGUAACCAUCAAUUUGAAUUUAAGUUGUUGAGCGGUUGGUGGAUAGUUCCAACUAUCUUUGCAAAGAAUGAUUGUUUAUGUCGAGAAACCAUUUCUGAAAGAAAUGAAUAUUGGUACUUUUAUAGGAAUUUUGGGAGAAGUCUUUACCUAGCUAGAAUGGCUUACAUGUCUCUCUUCUAUUGUGUGUUUUAGUAGCCACAAAGCCUAGAUGUGGUUUAAGGUGGUUGCAUGUUAGUCAUGCUAGUUGUAGAAUAAAUCUUUGAUUUUCUAGAUCCAUGGAUUAUGUAUUAAUACAUUGAGGAUCAGAUAGUUCUCUCCCCGAUGCAUGCUUGUGGAGCCAUUGUUGGACCACCUAUCUAUUGGUUUGAAUGAAGCCAGUGCCUAGCCUAGAGUUGGUUGUGUGUGGUUAGUCACCUAUUCCUAAAUGAUGUGGUUUUUACAUCAGCUUGAGAUGUUUGUCAAAUGUUUGACGGAUUACAGGGUUAUUAUUGACCUUGUAUGUCUGGUACUUUGAGUGCAUCGUAUGAUAGAAUGAAAUGUAAGUUUAUGAACUACAGUAGAUGAAGACUUAUAUUAUGUGUAGGUUAACCUCACUAGUUUGGAUAUUUUUCUUAGUUGAGUUGUUGGAUGAAGUAUAGUGACAGUGGUUAACCAAGUAUUGUGUUGUUGUGCUGUCAGUGCUUUUUGUGGAGCUUUUGGCAUUUCUUCGAUGACAUGUGCCGCGCAGAAUGUUAUUGGCUUCUUAUUGGCUUUAUUGCUCCAUUAGUUCUGUAGAUUUUCUCCCUUUUGCGGGGUGCAAAGAAUGUUAGAUUACAUGAUUAUCUUUUCAUGAUGGCAAGAAUAAGGUUUAGGAAGAUUAGGAGUUUUGUUUCAAUAGAACUACUUGUUUCGUGGUGCUUUGAGGUGAGGUGUUUGAUCUUCUUAUACAUUCAUCGGGUGUGGAUGUUUCACCAUUUCAUUAAAAUUAAUUGUUGAAGUUGGUAAGGGUUGUGCUUAGUGCAUAUUACCCCUUCAUAAAAGAGUGUUGUCUUAAGACAUUGAUGUUGAUGUAUAGUUGCAUCCAAAUUCGAUGGUGUGAAAUUGUAGUGUUGAUUGCAUCUAUGACCUGCUUUGAGCUUCAUUGCAUGUUGUUUCAUGCUUGAUGUCAGGUUGUGUAGUUUCCUCAGACAAUUAGUCCAAGGUAGAAGUGAUUGUGUUAAUUAAGACCAAUAAUGGACCCAUGUUUUGAAUGAUGGUGAUGGGGUACCUUGGGUGUUUUGCUUGGAGUGGCCGAAUUCGAGGACGAAUUCUUUUUAAGUGGGGUAGAGUGUAAUAUCCCCAAAACAUUUUUGGACCAAAAGUUGAUCUACGGUGCGUGGAUGUGGGAAAGGGUUGUGGGCCGUUGGAUGCAAAGGCAGAAGUCAUCUGGGGCGUCGGUUCUUUUCUCCCACAAAACCCUAGGUGGCCACCCCCUUUUCCCUCCACCCCCUCUCUUGGCCGCCACCCUCCCCCCUUUUUCCCUUGGUUGGCCACCCCCUCUCCUCUCAUGGCAGCCGCCCACCAUUUCUUCCUCCUCCCUAGAUCUCCCCCUCCCCCACGCAGCAAGGAUCGAGAAGAGGAGGAGCAAGAUGGAUUGAAGAGGAAGAGAGGAUCAAGGAGAUGUUCUACCCCCCCCCCAUCUAUUGCAGAUUUUCUUGGGGAAACCCUAGGUAAGGAUGGGAUCCUUGUUCCUCCAUAUAAUUAUGUGCUUUUGGAGGUUGUGGAUCAUGUGGAUUGAAGAAUUAGAGGUUGGAUUAGAUGUGGGGUUAGGUUUUGAUCUCGAAUUUAAUUUCUGCAGAAUGGCAGAUUCGACAGUUUCUGUUCUUACCAGUUUUCCGUGGUCUUAGUGGCCCCAAAAAAAUAAAAAGUUUAUAUAUGAGUCGUAGAUAAUUUGUAUAUCUUUCCGUGUCCGCGAAGAACACCUCAAUCGGACAUCAGAUCAGAAAGUUAUUGCAGUUUGAUUAUAGCAGUUUUUCAGUCUCAUAAUUCUGUGCAGAAUCUGUUCUCUUAAUAGUUAGGCAAUUUUAUCAACAGAAUUAAACUAUGGGUUGGUAAAAUAAGUUGUAGAUAAUUUCAUAAUCUUUCCAGAUUGUUAAAGAGUGCAUUCAUAUGAUUUGUGAAACUCCAGUUAUGUUUGUUUUACUGUGGCUGUUUCUGUUUGCCUGACAAAAAUGAGCGGGUCUGUUCACUGGUAGGUUUCAUCAGGUAAAUGGCCGAAUUGGCUCUUACAACUAUGGAGACUUAUGUAGAGGGAUAAAAGUUCUUACUGCCAGUAGAAUUCCAUGAUUUUUGGUUGAGUAGUUUGUGAGAUAUCGAAUUUUGAAGUUAACUACGCUGCUGUCUGAAACAGAUUCAGUCAGUUAUCUUGUUAGAGGUUUUAGAACUUGUAGAUGGCAGAAUUUAAUUAUCCAUUGAAUAUCGAAGUUGUAGAGUAUUUUGUGUAGAUACUCCUAGAUUAUUUGUUUGCUAUCACAACUGUUAUAAUUUUAAAGAUACAAAAUUAACAAACAGCGCUGCUGCUGUAUGUCAUGUGGUUCAGGGUGGGAGUCUUUCCACCAGGUCUUGGUUUCAAGUGUAGGAGCGAUUUGUUGAUUGUUGUCAAAUGUUUGUGAAAUAUUUGUACUAAGUUUUAUGCCCGCUAGCAGGUGGCUACACUCCAGAUCAUGCAUAGUACAUUUCUUCUUCUUCGAUGAAGGCAAGUGAAUGUAGCAGUGGUUGCUUCCGUUCUGACCUGUUAUUUCUAUUGCCUACACUCUAAUAUUCAGAAGUAUUGGAUUCUUUCAUAAUUGGACUCUAUGGUGAUGCUUUACUUGCUUGCAUUAUGCUGAUGCUCAAUCAUAUAUUGAUGAUGAUAAUGAUUCGAGUAUGACUCGUGAGAUUAAUUCACACCCCUGAAGGUAAAUGAAGUAUUAUUUAAGGUUGGUAUUGUAUCUAAAGGUAAAUGAAGUAUUAUUUGAGGUUGUAUUGUAUGUGAAGGAAGUGAAGUAUAUUGAUAAAUGCAGCAUGCCAUAUACAUUGCAUGAUUCACUUGCAUCUGAAGUUUUGUCGUGACCUAUGGUCCGACCGUACCGGUACAACUUAGCAUCGUACGUUGCCCGAGAAGGGGUACGAUGCGGCUUCAUACCCUUAGAGGUAUGAAGGCAGAGGACAUAUGCAUUGCAUUCAUAUGCAUUCAUUGAAGUGGUAUUUGUAGAUGGUGUGGUUUUAUACUCUAAGAGGUAUGAAGGCAGAGGACUUACACAUUGCAUUACUAUGCAUACAUCGAAGUGAUAUUUGCAGGUAUUGUUGACGCAGGAAAGUGUUAUACAACCUAUUGUGGUUGUUCGAGGAAAUUAGAUGGCAUUGGUUAUUUUGGGACUAUUGAGUUCUAUAUCUACAAGUAUUUCUGAUCUCAAUUGUGAUCCCUUUAAAAUGUUGAUUAGUUCAAUUUUUUUGGUUUAAAUAUCUCGUCGAAACAAUUCACUUGCUGAGAUGUUUCAUCUCACUCUUGCAUUACUCAAUGCAGGUACUUGAUUCAUGUUGGGGAUGAGGGGAGUAGCAGCACGUCCACCUUCACUCUUAUAAUAACGCUGCCCAGGCACAACCAUGAUUUAAUUAAAAACUUCUUGUCAAAGGAUGUUUGUUUUUAACUAGUCAUGCACACUAGUUAAUUCAGUUCAUGACGUUAUGGUUAUCUUCCCAUUGCUAACAGAUUAUUAAUGUCUAGUAUGUUUUCUUAUUAUGAUAUAUGUUUAUACUUUGUUGCUUCCACGUUUAUGCAAAUUUUCAAAGGAGAUGCUAUUGAAAUUUUAUAUAUGAAUGUUAGUUGUGUAGUUUAGUAGCAUUUCGGGGUGUUUGUGGAUCCCGGGGUGUUACAGAGGUAAUGGAGUUUACGGGGAAAAAUGAUCCCGUUUUGGUGCUUGAUGCCAAAGGGGGAGAAAUUAAGGCUAAAGCAAAUGGAUCAGCUACCACUUGAGAAUUUUGAAAAUAGUAGAGUUAGAACUUUUGUUUCGUCAAAAUACUCUAAGUGUCUCUUUUUGUCAAAAGUUGGUCUCUUGUGGGGAAAAUGUUUGAUUAUGGGAAAAAGGGGGAGUUUUUGAAUCUUUGAUCAAUUUCUCUUGGCAUACCUUUCUCUAUGCCUCAACAAGUGAAUUUGACUUAGAGAUAGGAAAUUGAGUUUGAUUUACAAAAACAAACCAAGUGGUGGCAAAGAAUGAUCCAAAUAUGCCAAAUUUGAAUCAAAACAAAUUCUGGUUCUCAUUUGCAUUGAUGUUGCACUUCUAUAUGUUGCUUUUUGUUGUGUUGGCAUAAAUCACCAAAAAGGGGGAGAUUGAAAGGGAAAUGUGCCAUUGGGCCAUUUCUAAGUAUUUUGGUGAUUAAGUGUCCAACACAAAUGGUUAUGUGUUAAACUAUGCCAAAUGGUGGACAAAGUGCAAAUCAAUACAAAGGUAUGAUUCUAGACUUAGUACAUUGGUUUUUGUGUACUAACAUAUUUGUCUAAGUGCUAGAAUCAGAGAAAAGACAAAUGAAAAAGACUUGGCUCUCGGGAAUUCGUCGGCGGCGUAUGGCUAAAAAUCACCGGACUGUCCGGUGAGCCAACGGUCGGCCGAGCCAACGGUCGGCCGCGCAAUCCGCGCAUGACGCGUGGCCGGGCCAACGGUCUGAUGGGGGCACCGGACUGUCUGGUGUGCACCGGACAGUGUCCGGUGCGCCAACGGCUCCAAAUCGUCAAUGGUCGGCUGCGCUAGAACAGGAAAGAAAUCUGCACUGAACAGUGUCCGGUGGUGCACCGGACUGUCCGGUGCAUCAGUCGACAGAAGGCAAGAAUUGCCUUCCUGGAUUGCUCUCAACAGCUCCUAGCUGCCUUGGGGCUAUAAAAGGGACCUCUAGGCGCAUGAACGAGUAUACCAAGAUUUCUUUGAUCAUCUCUUAGCACCAAGACAUCUCUCUAGCGUAUUUGAUUCGUUCUGAUCGCAAUUUGAGCUCCUCUUGAGUUGAGAACUCCGUGUGUGAUCUUAGAGCUCAAGUUGUGACUUGUGUGCGUGUUUGUGCUCAUGCUUUGAGGCUUGUGUGUGUUGCUCUUCCCACUCUUACAUCUGUGCUUCCUUGUGAUCAUCUCAUUGUAAGGGCGAGAGGCUCCAAGUUGUGGAGAUUCCUCGCAAACGGGAAAGAGUAAAGGAAAAAGAACACCGUGGUAUUCAAGUUGAUCAUUGGAUCACUUGAAAGGAGUUGAGUGCAACUCUCGUCCAUUGGGACGCCACAACGUGGACUAGGCAAGUGUUGUACUUGGCCGAACCACGGAAUAAAUCUCUGUGUCUCUUGUGCUUGGUCUCACUGUGUCAAUUGUGGUUCACAAGAGCUCUCCUUAGCCACUUGAUUUCAUUGUGCUAACACUUAAUCAAGUUUGUGGCUUUAAGUUUCAAGUUUUUACAGGAUCACCUAUUCACCCCCCCCCCCCUCUAGGUGCUCUCAACUGCAUAAUCAAACAAGGCCUAAGUACAACCCUUAAUCGAGAUCCCAAAAUCUGCCCAGGGCCUCUUACUAAGAGUGAUCAAACAACCAUCUGAUUUUUCACAAAUUUGAACUAUGAGAUUUUAUCUGCACUGAAUUGUGUCUGUUUCUCCAACGCACUGCUGGCUGAAUUUUUCGAUCUCUUCUUAUUUCUUUUGGAUUAGGUUCAGAAUUUCAGUUUUCAUGCAUUCAUUCAUGUUCCAGGCAGUUUUAUAUCCUGAAAAGAAUUAAAGGCUUACUUUUCCUUCCUCCUUUUUGUCAUGUCAUUACAGCUUCUAGUGAUUGUACUGUUAAGGUCUAGGAUACUAAAACAACAGAUUGCUUGCAUACUUUCAAGCCACCACCUCCUUUGAGGGGAGGAGAUGCAUAUGUUAAUUCUGUCCAUUUAUUUCCAAAAAAUACUGAUCACAUUGUUGUCUGCAAUAAGACUUCAUCAAUAUUCAUCAUGACUUUACAAGGACAGGUUAUUUGAAUUCACAUCCUAUUUUUUAUUUGGCCUAU